UACGUAGGCAGCGAGCGUUGUUCGGAGUUACUGGGCGUAAAGGGUGCGUAGGCGGCCGUGCAAGUCUGGCGUGAAAGCCCCGGGCUCAGCCCGGGAAGUGCGCUCGAAACUGCGCGGCUCGAGUGCCGGAGGGGAGAGUGGAAUUCCUGGUGUAGCGGUGAAAUGCGUAGAUAUCAGGAGGAAUACCGGUGGCGAAAGCGACUCUCUGGACGGCAACUGACGCUGAGGCACGGAAAGCGUGGGGAGCAAACAGG
rnacentral:rRNA from 1 species